rnacentral:rRNA from 1 species
AUUGAACGCUGGCGGCAGGCCUAACACAUGCAAGUCGAACGGUAACAGGAAGCAGCUUGCUGCUUCGCUGACGAGUGGCGGACGGGUGAGUAAUGUCUGGGAAGCUGCCUGAUGGAGGGGGAUAACUACUGGAAACGGUAGCUAAUACCGCAUAAUGUCGCAAGACCAAAGAGGGGGACCUUCGGGCCUCUUGCCAUCGGAUGUGCCCAGAUGGGUUUAGCUUGUUGGUGGGGUAACGGCUCACCAAGGCGACGAUCCCUAGCUGGUCUGAGAGGAUGACCAGCCACACUGGAACUGAGACACGGUCCAGACUCCUACGGGAGGCAGCAGUGGGGAAUAUUGCACAAAGGGCGCAAGCCUGAUGCAGCCAUGCCGCGUGUAUGAAGAAGGCCUUCGGGUUGUAAAGUACUUUCAGCGGGGAGGAAGGGAGUAAAGUUAAUACCUUUGCUCAUUGACGUUACCCGCAGAAGAAGCACCGGCUAACUCCGUG